rnacentral:rRNA from 1 species
UACGGAGGGUGCAAGCGCUAUCCGGAUUCACUGGGUUUAAAGGGUGCGUAGGCGGGCAGGUAAGUCAGUGGUGAAAUCUCCGAGCUUAACUCGGAAACUGCCGUUGAUACUAUUUGUCUUGAAUAUUGUGGAGGUAAGCGGAAUAUGUCAUGUAGCGGUGAAAUGCUUAGAUAUGACAUAGAACACCAAUUGCGAAGGCAGCUUACUACACAACGAUUGACGCUGAGGCACGAAAGCGUGGGGAUCAAACAGG